rnacentral:lncRNA from 1 species
AGGUCUCAGCCACUUUUGCAGCUAGUCUGGUCAGCAGCCCUGCCAUUGGAGCAUACCUUUCUGCAAGUUAUGGAGACAGCCUCGUUGUGCUAGUGGCCACAGUGGUGGCUCUUCUGGACAUCUGUUUCAUCUUGGUGGCUGUUCCAGAAUCUUUGCCAGAGAAAAUGAGACCGGUUUCCUGGGGAACUCAGAUUUCUUGGAAACAAGCAGACCCUUUUGCGGUAAAUUAAAAUAUUCACUUUGUAAAUAUCUGUCUACGGCAAGCAAAUAAAAUAAUAUGUAUGCAGCCUCGAGGAUCCCAGCAGAUAGAUCUAUUGCUUUCUCCAGUAAAAAUAGAAAAUCUUAAAUUACAAAAUAUGUAGAAUUGGUACCUAAGCCAAGCAUGUCAUACAAAAGAGAAGAAAGGUAAAAGUCCAGUUAAUCUCUGAUGACAGUUUAUGAAAGAAGUUUCUUUUUGCAUAGUUGUUUUCAUUCUUUUUUUUUUAAGUAAAUUAAGUGAAGGUGGUCAUCUGAAGUGAGUUCACUUUAAUUCAAAAAGGAUGAUGCAUUUGAUCUGACUAAAAUAGUUAUUUUCUAAAUUGUUAAUAUACAUACACUAUGACCAGAGGCUGUGAACCUAGAUUUUGCUAUUAAUUAUGUUAAAAAAAAAUUUUUUUUGUGAGUCGGGAGGUGGUAAAGGAUAUACUUCACUAACAAUCAGAAAAAAUGCUGAGAAAAGUAUCUUAUCUCUUCCCCAAUCCCUUUCUAAUUUGAAAUUAUUCUUGAAAGAAAUACAACAUGUGGGGGGGGGGGGAAGAACCAGAGACUUGAUUUUUGCUCUUUUGUCCCCCAAGUUUACCUUUUAGGAAAAGUACAAAUAAAAUUGAAAUGUAUUUCAUCAAAGUUUUUUUCUAAAAUGCCCACUCAGAGCAUAACCUGGUUGACCUUGUCUGUUCUUUUGGGGCCAGAAUGUCAGAAAACAAAGAAGGAGUUUGGGGGAGGAAACAGGAGUGACCAGGAAGCCCGUCAGUUAGGCUUCCCACCAUUGUCAUAUGGAGAUCAAGUUUGGCACAGAGGCUUCUCUGUAAAGUGGAACUACUGUGGCUUACUUUUCAGGGGAGUUGAGAACUGUACAGUUCACAUGUAUCAGUGAACUAGCGUCUGGUGUGAAGCAAGGUCUCAACAGACAUUGGCUGGUUUUUUUUUUUUUUCUUUAAUUGUUUUAAAUAUAUACAUAUAUUUUAGUUGUAGAUGGACACAUUACCUUUAUUUAUUUAUCUUUAUGUGGUGCUGAGGAUCAAACCCAGUGCCUCACGUGUGCUAGGCAAGCGCUCUACCACUGGGCCACAACCCCAGCCCUCAUUGGCUAUUUUUGCUAUUAAUUAUAUAAAAGUUACAGGAUGGUGACCUAGCUGUACAGCAGCACUUUCCAUUCCUUCAGUAACAGUACACCUUUCGGUUCUGUUCAGUUACUGUGUAAAUAAAAAUGAUUUUUCAACAAAGUUGUAAUGUUCAAAAGGCUCUUACUGGUCUGAAGCAUAUUUUUUUUUGUCUACUAGGUUUACAGGUAAAUUGAAAUCAGUAUUUUGAAGGCUAGAAUGAACUUAGGUGUAAUGAAAACCCUAUAGUGGAUAUGAUCUUAAAGAAGUUAUAUUAUAAAUCAAGAGAGAAGGGACUGGGAUUGUGGCUCAGCGGUAGAGCGCUCACCUAGCACGGGCGGGACCCGGGUUCAAUCCUCAGCACCACAUAAAAAUAAAGGCAUUGUGUUGUGUCCAUCUACACCUAAAAAAAUAAAUAUUAAAAAUAAAAAUAAAUCAAGAGAGAAAAGUGAUUUUCUUCAGUGAAUCUAUAGAAAUACAUUUUCAGGGCCUGUUUAUAGGAUAUUUGGGACCUGUUAGGGGUGUUAACCAGUGUUAACAAAGGUGAGCAAGUGCUUUUUAAAAAGCUGCAAUCCUGGAAAUACAUACUUCUAAAAUAAGAACUUAAAACUUCCACAGAGAGCUGGUUAUAGAUUUCAUAUUAAGGCUGACUUCCUUUUAUAAUGCAUUGGACUUUCAUUAUCCAUCUUAAUAGAUCAACUUAGUGAACCCAUAUUCCAAAUGUUGGUGACAUUAUAUCUAUUAGCUUUUUAUGUUGCUUUCUGUUUAUUCCCAGUCAUUGAAGAAAGUUGGGAAAGAUUCUACUGUCUUCUUAAUCUGCAUCACCGUGUUUCUUUCGUAUCUUCCCGAAGCUGGACAGUAUUCAAGUUUUUUUCUCUAUCUCAGGCAGGUAAGUAAUGGAUGUCUAGUGGCAUCUG